GGUUGGUUGUGUAGAAGUAGUUAUUCAAGUGUGAGCAGGAAUCUAUGUGUGAGGGGGAGAUGUUAUCUGCCUCAUUCUGCUGGUUACUAAGCCUUCUGAUAUUUCUUCAUCUAUACAACAGGGAUAACCGGUUUCUAAAACAUUGUGGAAUUCAAGGCUCCAUAAUGGAAUCAAGAAGCCAUGAACAGCUCCCUUGGAAGGAAGCUUGGAGGACACUGGUCCAACUUCCCACUGAAGCCAGAGGUCUGGAAAUGGGCAGAUGGUUAGGCAGACACCGAUUCAGCAUUUUCAAGAGUUGUAAAUUCAAGGCAGUCGUUUCUCAAUAUCCAUCUGGGAUUGGUUCCUGGACCUCCGAGGAUACCAAAGUCCAUGGAUGCUCGAGUCCCUUGUAUAAAUGAUGUAGUACAAUUGGCCUUCCCUAGCGGCAGGUUCCGAAUCCACAGAUUCAUCUAACUGCGGAUAAAAUUUUGGAUGAAGAAAAAAAGGAGGAUAUGCAUUACUAAGAAUCAAAGGAAGUGCUGACUCUAUAACAGAGAGAAAAGCUUCAAAAUGAUUGUACAACAUGAAGACAGAAAUAACCAUGUUAAGAGGUCAUUGGUCCGACUUCUCCAGAAACUUCCCCUGGGCAGCGGUCUCUACCUCUGUUACAGAAGACUGCAAAAAUACCAGCCAUUGUGCAUCUGGCCAAUUAUGCAAUGUUCUAUCACAAGGGGAAAUUCCUUCCUCACUCCAGCUGGUGAGCAGUUAUGCCCUGGAGCCCAGGACGGACAUGCCUUGUAACUUUUUAACCUAGUUAGUGUAACUGCCAAUAUUAUUCCUAUUCAUAUAAAUGUCUAAUCCUUUCUUGAAUCUUGCUAGACUAUUUGCCUCGAUAAUAUCCUGCGGCAAUGAAUUCCACAGGUAGAUUAUAUGCUGUUUUAAAAAGUAUUUCCUUUUAUUCAUUUUAAAUUUGUUACCUUUUAAUGUCACAAAAUGGCCCUUGUUCUUGCAUUAAGUGGUACAGGGUACAGGCAUUUCAAACUGAGCUUUAAUUCUUCCAAGCACUUUCUCCGACCUUAUUAAAACCCUAUCUUCUUCAUAUAUUUUCUAUUUUGGCAUGUGUAAUCUUGAUUAAAUGGGAUG